AACUGCGACCCCAGUCAGGCCG
rnacentral:rRNA from 1 species